rnacentral:rRNA from 1 species
AACGAACGCUGGCGGCAGGCCUAACACAUGCAAGUCGAACGGGACCUUCGGGUCUAGUGGCGGACGGGUGAGUAACGCGUGGGAACGUGCCCUUUGGUUCGGAAUAGCCCCGGGAAACUGGGAGUAAUACCGGAUAAGCCCUACGGGGGAAAGAUUUAUCGCCAAAGGAUCGGCCCGCGUUGGAUUAGGUAGUUGGUGGGGUAAUGGCUCACCAAGCCGACGAUCCAUAGCUGGUUUGAGAUGAUGAUCAGCCACACUGGGACUGAGACACGGCCCAGACUACUACGGGAGGCAGCAGUGGGGAAUCUUAGACAAUGGGGGAAACCCUGAUCUAGCCAUGCCGCGUGAUCGAUGAAGGCCUUAGGGUUGUAAAGAUCUUUCAGUGGGGAAGAUAAUGACUGUACCCACAGAAGAAGCCCCGGCUAACUCCGUGCCAGCCGCCGCCGUAACAC